AGUCAAUGUCAGUCCACUUAUAUUCUUGUGUUUUAGCCUCUCCCUGAACAGUGCUUGCUAAUUUGCACCCAACCCUUUACUUUUUAACUAUUUGAGAUCAUUGAAAUUGUUUUCGGCAACCUUCCUAGAUAUGUGGGCCGAGGGGCUAAAGUAAUUAUGGUUAAUUUAAAACAUUUACGCUCAGGUUUAGUUGGGGUGGUUAGCUGAAAAUUUGCAAAUAUGAAGUAUAGUCGACUUACAUAAAUAAUUUUUAGUUUUUGUUCAAACUAAGCAAUUGCCACAAAGAAAAUAAAAUCGGAUGACUAACAACAAAAUGACAUAAAAAAAUGGUUCACCAAAAACAGACAGAGAUUAAAGAUAUGUAACACCAAUAAUAGGGAGUUGGGGAUUUUCCAGGCAAUUGCUUUUAUCAGUAAUUUCUGUCCAUUUUAGGGAAUCAUUUUAUGACGCCAUUUUGUUAUUAGUGGUCUGAUUAUAAUGUUGUAUAUCAAUUACGUAGUUUAAUCAAUACCUGCAAAAAUAUGUAAAUAAGUUUUGUUAUCAAAUUCUUGAUUUGAUUGCUGUAUGUUGGUUUUUAUAUUUGGAAAGCAAACAAUAAGCGGAUGAUGGUCCAAGGUUUCAUUUACCGUUGACACGGACACGCCUCCAUGCAACAGUCCAACAGAGUGUGUUUCUACAGUGAGGGAGAUACAGCACAGACAUAUGAACCAGGACAAUCUACCAGACAUAGCCUACAAUUUUCUUGUCGGAGGUGACGGGAAUGUUUAUGAAGGGAGAGGUUGGUAUACAAAACCCCAGAAAUUUCUCACAGACCCUAAAUGUAGCGAUAAGACUAUCGAUAUAGCAUUCAUUGGAAAAUAUGGCUAUCCAGAUGUAGAGUACCCCUGGGCUCUUCAUGAUAAAGCUACUGAAUUGUUACUGGAAGGGCAAGACAGACACAUUGUGGUUUUAAACCUACUGUUAUUGUAUCCAAAAG